CUGGGUGGAGAGGUGAUCUGGGCUGCUCUGGAAACAGCGAAUAGAGAAGCGGCUGUCUGAAGAGGACAGAGAUUUGAGAUAAAGAGGCACAUCUAUUUCUUUCUUGUGGACAAUAUGCUUAUGGAUAUGAAAUCACACCCGACUCUUGCUUAGAAAGCAGCAGCGAUUUGCUCGACGGAGUGGCACGUGUUUACUCUCACUGAUGCUGUUUGAGGUGAUCCGUUUUCCUGGUAACAGACAGAAUGUGUUCCUUUCUG
rnacentral:lncRNA from 1 species